rnacentral:rRNA from 1 species
CCUACGGGUGGCUGCAGUCGAGAAUCUUCGUCAAUGGUCGAAAGACUGAACGAGCGACGCCGCGUGCGGGAUGAAGGCCCUCGGGUUGUAAACCGCUGUCAGUGGGAAUGAAAUACUAGGGGGAUCACCCCCUAGUUUGACAGACCCGCAGAGGAAGGACGGGCUAAGUUCGUGCCAGCAGCCGCGGUAAUACGAACCGUCCAAACGUUAUUCGGAAUCACUGGGCUUGGCGGGUCCGUAGGUGGCGUGUGAAAUCCCACGGCUCAACCGUGGAAUUGCGCUCAAAACUGUCGAGCUUGAGGGAGGUAGAGGUGAGCGGAACUUCGGGUGGAGCGGUGAAAUGCGUUGAUAUCCGAAGGAACACCGGUGGCGAAAGCGGCUCACUGGGCCUCUUCUGACGCUGAGGCACGAAAGCUAGGGGAGCGAACGGGAUUAGAUACCCUUGUAGUC